GACGAACGCUGGCGGCGUGCUUAACACAUGCAAGUCGAACGAUGAUCAGGAGCUUGCUCCUGUGAUUAGUGGCGAACGGGUGAGUAACACGUGAGUAACCUGCCCCUGACUCUGGGAUAAGCGUUGGAAACGACGUCUAAUACUGGAUAUGAUCACUGGCCGCAUGGUCUGGUGGUGGAAAGAUUUUUUGGUUGGGGAUGGACUCGCGGCCUAUCAGCUUGUUGGUGAGGUAAUGGCUCACCAAGGCGACGACGGGUAGCCGGCCUGAGAGGGUGACCGGCCACACUGGGACUGAGACACGGCCCAGACUCCUACGGGAGGCAGCAGUGGGGAAUAUUGCACAAUGGGCGAAAGCCUGAUGCAGCAACGCCGCGUGAGGGAUGACGGCCUUCGGGUUGUAAACCUCUUUUAGUAGGGAAGAAGCGAAAGUGACGGUACCUGCAGAGAAAGCACCGGCUAACUACGUG
rnacentral:rRNA from 1 species